CCCCAUCACUAUCACCAAGAAACAUUGCAGCAGGAUAAGUCGGCAACUGGAUAUUUACAAUUAGAAGAGAAGGGAUUUUUCCUUCAACUUUUACAUGAGGGAGCUCAAGGUGUAGUGCAAUGUGAUUAACCUUUCUAGGGCAGAUAAACAUAUCAACACCAAUUGGAGUAUAUGGACUGCAAUUUGAAGCAGGGCACUUCCUCUUAUCUUUGAAAUAGGUCUCGCCACGAAGUUUGAAAUUUGAGGGAGGAAUCUCACA
rnacentral:misc_RNA from 1 species